rnacentral:rRNA from 1 species
CCUACGGGAGGCAGCAGUGGGGAAUCUUGCGCAAUGGGCGAAAGCCUGACGCAGCCAUGCCGCGUGAAUGAUGAAGGUCUUAGGAUUGUAAAAUUCUUUCACCGGGGACGAUAAUGACGGUACCCGGAGAAGAAGCCCCGGCUAACUUCGUGCCAGCAGCCGCGGUAAUACGAAGGGGGCUAGCGUUGCUCGGAAUUACUGGGCGUAAAGGGAGCGUAGGCGGAUAGUUUAGUCAGAGGUGAAAGCCCAGGGCUCAACCUUGGAAUUGCCUUUGAUACUGGCUAUCUUGAGUGUGGGAGAGGUUAGCGGAACUCCGAGUGUAGAGGUGAAAUUCGUAGAUAUUCGGAAGAACACCAGUGGCGAAGGCGGCUAACUGGCCCAUUACUGACGCUGAGGCUCGAAAGCGUGGGGAGCAAACAGGAUUAGAUACCCUGGUAGUCCACGCCGUAAACGAUGAGUGCUAGUUGUCGGCAUGCAUGCAUGUCGGUGACGCGAGCUACGACAUAAGUACACUCCGCCGUCGGGAGGUACGGUCGCGAGAUAAACUACAAUAGAAGUUAGACGGACGUGAGACGUAGCCGAACGGACGACGACGAGGGAGGUAGG